rnacentral:rRNA from 1 species
GACGAACGCUGGCGGCGCGCUUAACACAUGCAAGUCGAACGGAAAGGCCUGCUUUCCCUUGUGGAUUGCGGGUACUCGAGUGGCGAACGGGUGAGUAACACGUGAGUGAUCUGCCCCCAACUUGGGUAUAAUCCUGGGAAACUGGGUCUAAUUCCCGAUAGGACUGCAGGGUGGUGCCUGUUGUGGAAAACGACUUUCUAGUGGCUGGGGAUGAGCUCGCGGCCUAUCAGCUUGUUGGUGGGGUAAUGGCCCACCAAGGCGGCGACGGGUAGCCGGCCCGAGAGGGUGGACGGCGACAUUGGGACUGAGAUAAGGCCCAGACGCCUAGGGGAGGCAGCAGUGGGGAAUAUAGGACCAUGAGCGGAAGCCUGAAGCAGCGACGCCGCGUGGGGGGUGACGGCCUUGGGGUUGUAAACUCCUUUCGACCACGAGGAGGCCACCUGGUUGGAAGGGUGGUGACGGUAGUGGUAGAAGAAGCACCGGCUAACUACGUG